rnacentral:rRNA from 1 species
GAACGCUGGCGGCGUGCCUAACACAUGCAAGUCGAACGAAGCAUACGGACCGGAGAUCGUCGAAGGACCGUAUGACUUAGUGGCGGACGGGUGAGUAAUGUAUGAGCAACCUGCCUUUCAGAGGGGGACAACAGUUGGAAACGACUGCUAAUACCGCGUAACGUAUCGUGGGGGCAUCCUCGUGAUACCAAAGGAGCAAUCCGCUGAAAGAUGGGCUCAUAUCUGAUUAGCUUGUUGGCGGGGUAACGGCCCACCAAGGCGACGAUCAGUAGCCGGACUGAGAGGUUGAACGGCCACAUUGGGACUGAGAUACGGCCCAGACUCCUACGGGAGGCAGCAGUGGGGAAUAUUGGGCAAUGGGCGAAAGCCUGAACCCCAGCAACGCCGCGUGAAGGAAGAAGGUCUUCGGAUUGUAAACUUCUUUUAUGAGGGACGAAGGACGUGACGGUACCUCAUGAAUAAGCCACGGCUAACUACGUGCCAGCCGCAGC